rnacentral:misc_RNA from 1 species
AAGUCGUAACAAGGUAUUUGGGUUAGGGUCCCUCCGCUCCGAGUGGUCAAACGCUCGGCGGUUCCCCCCCUGGAAGCCUUAGUGUGCUCCCUCAUUCUGUUGGAACGUGGCAAUCCCUGGUAAAUCAUCGCCGAACAGUUUUGAUUCAGGGACUUCUGCAAAGAGUGCUGGUUGUAGCGCGAGGCAAGUGGCCUGGCAUUCCUCUGCUUGUUAGUGUCUGAAAGUGUCACUGGCUCUGUAAGAAUGGCGCAGUCACGAUCGCUAGAGGCCGACACGGCCGGCGACCGGGUCACCGGGCUCACGCCCCCCUAUCACCCCUUUGCAUGAAAACGGGCCUGCGCUUAAUUGUGCGGCCAUAAACCGAACAACUGUUAACAAUGGAUAUCUUGGUUCUC